rnacentral:sRNA from 1 species
UCCGUAGGUGAACCUGCGGAGGGAUCAUUACCGAGUCUAACAACUCAUCAACCCUGUGAACAUACCUAAACGUUGCUUCGGCGGGAACAGACGGCCCCGUAACACGGGCCGCCCCCGCCAGAGGACCCCCUAACUCUGUUUCUAUAAAUGUUUUUUCUGAGUAAACAAGCAAAUAAAUUAAAACUUUCAACAACGGAUCUCUUGGCUCUGGCAUCGAUGAAGAACGCAGCGAAAUGCGAUAAGUAAUGUGAAUUGCAGAAUUCAGUGAAUCAUCGAAUCUUUGAACGCACAUUGCGCCCGCCAGUAUUCUGGCGGGCAUGCCUGUUCGAGCGUCAUUACAACCCUCAGGCCCCCGGGCCUGGCGUUGGGGAUCGGCGGAGCCCCCCGUGGGCACACGCCGUCCCCCAAAUACAGUGGCGGUCCCGCCGCAGCUUCCAUUGCGUAGUAGCUAACACCUCGCAACUGGAGAGCGGCGCGGCCAUGCCGUAAAACACCCAACUUCUGAAUGUGACCUCGAAUC